rnacentral:rRNA from 1 species
GAUGAACGCUGGCGGCGUGCUUAACACAUGCAAGUCGAACGGAAAGGCCAGUGCUUGCACUGGUACUCGAGUGGCGAACGGGUGAGUAACACGUGGGUGAUCUGCCCUGCACUUCGGGAUAAGCCUGGGAAACUGGGUCUAAUACCGGAUAGGACAAUGGUUUGGAUGCCGUUGUGGAAAGUUUUUUCGGUGUGGGAUGAGCUCGCGGCCUAUCAGCUUGUUGGUGGGGUAAUGGCCUACCAAGGCGUCGACGGGUAGCCGGCCUGAGAGGGUGUACGGCCACAUUGGGACUGAGAUACGGCCCAGACUCCUACGGGAGGCAGCAGUGGGGAAUAUUGCACAAUGGGCGCAAGCCUGACGCAGCGACGCCGCGUGGGGGAUGACGGCCUUCGGGUUGUAAACUCCUGUCGCUAGGGACGAAGCGUAUUUGUGACGGUACCUGGAGAAGAAGCACCGGCUAACUACGUG